GAUGAACGCUGGCGGCGUGCCUAAUACAUGCAAGUCGAGCGAACGGACGAGAAGCUUGCUUCUCUGAUGUUAGCGGCGGACGGGUGAGUAACACGUGGAUAACCUACCUAUAAGACUGGGAUAACUUCGGGAAACCGGAGAUAAUACCGGAUAAUAUUUUGAACGGCAUGGUUCAAAAGUGAAAGACGGUCUUGCUGUCACUUAUAGAUGGAUCCGCGCUGCAUUAGCUAGUUGGUAAGGUAACGGCUUACCAAGGCAACGAUGCAUAGCCGACCUGAGAGGGUGAUCGGCCACACUGGAACUGAGACACGGUCCAGACUCCUACGGGAGGCAGCAGUAGGGAAUCUUCCGCAAUGGGCGAAAGCCUGACGGAGCAACGCCGCGUGAGUGAUGAAGGUCUUCGGAUCGUAAAACUCUGUUAUUAGGGAAGAACAUAUGUGUAAGUAACUGUGCACAUCUUGACGGUACCUAAUCAGAAAGCCACGGCUAACUACGUG
rnacentral:rRNA from 1 species